UCAAUGACCUCGAAGGGGAGCAAUGAUACACUGAUCACGCAACAAGUCUAUUUCCGACGUGAUAUGUAAGAUAUCCUCCUACGCUGUCUGUACGAGUGAUGUGCGCCAUCCAUCUCUUAUUAUGGCCACCACUAAACGGGAAUGCAUGACCAGUAUGUCUCAAUUGUAGAGAGAUCGUUGGAGACUGGUAGAAUUAUGUUUGCCUCUCCCUGGUCCGGAUAUCUGGAAAUCAGUUUUACACCUGCCCGUGACUUGCAAAUCACAUGACAAAAUGUAUUGUGUACAGAAGACACACACACACGCACUAACGUCAAACACCGUGUGUGAUUGUCGCACCGCCGCCAGCACCUCAAACGGUAAUCAGGUCCGUUUAAACAGCGGGCAUCACGAGCUGAUUCUUCCGAAAUCUUCCUAGUCAAUUUCUCCUAAUCAGUGAAAAGGUCGAGUAUUGGCUGCAUUCGAUACGCUCCGGUAGUCAUUGACACCAUCCUCAGACGAUUUGCCCACCUUGGAUUCCACAAAGAACUAAUAAAAAUCGACAGAUCUUUUUUUUUUCUAACAUCCAUUCUGGAUUCAUGAACCAAGGAUUUACAACUUAUUGGAUCUAUUUUACCCCCUUCAAAUAAAGACAAUUUCGAUAUAGUUUCUGCCGAGUAUUGCAAACUUUGAUAGAAGCUCAAAUCAAGUUACAUCGGAAGUCAGAUGAUGAACGCCGUCUUGAUUAGAAAAAGGGAUAAGAAGAUAUGUGUUGAAUACAUUUUCUAUUCCAAUUGCUAGGCGCCAUUAAAACGAUAAAAUCAUUUUUGCAUCUGGGCUCUAAGAUACUGGACGCCGUAUACGUAGAAGUACAUCAAUAUCAGCUUCCUUACAGCUCUCUGUUCAUUCUCAUGGAUUGGUUUUCCAGUCCAAAUAAGCAUCAUAUUAAUCAGUCCAUUUAUAUUUGAGAGCAAUUCGAAGAAGUGAAGAGAGUAGAUUCAUAUUUUUAUUGGCUGUCAGAGGCAAUCAGGACUGCUGGAUUUUUACAUUAUGGAUACAAGAUUUUCAGGAAAGCUUAGCGGUUGGAUCGCCGUGCCCUGUCUUCUAAUUGCCGUUGGAAUCUUUGAGGGUAGCUCUGCUGCAGAGACAAUACAGAUAGGUAAGCUAUAUCAAAUAACAUUCUUUCAAACAAAAAAACUGAUGAAAAUGUUUUUAUUGAUCUUUCUCAUGUCGCCUGGACGCUCUGGCGUCAAAUCGAAAUAUGUCAACCGAACAUUGACCACGUCAAAAUAAAUUUAUAUGAAAUUGCAGGCACGCAAAUUUGUUUUUGAAACCACCACAUUCUUAAUAUUAACACAAUGAUUUGCAAAAUACAUUAACAUAUAUCAAACAUUGAACAGGUGAGAAUCUGAGCUGUAAUAUAUGAAAGAAACCACUGGAGAAUGCUUUUCAAAUUUACUCUCUCUAAUUUCG